rnacentral:ribozyme from 1 species
UAGGGGUGCGGUGGCCGGUGACCUCCUCGUGGUGCACCCUGGAAACUCCCCACCUUCUGUGGGGAGGCUAACAACCGGCC